UAAAAAUAUAAAAAAUCAAAAAUAAAAAAUUGAAAAAUAUGACCGUUGCCAUAGAGGCUCCUCAACCGCUUUUCGUUUCAAGUGCUUUAAAACUAAACGGCACUACUCCAAGAACUCAAAUCACCAAUAAAGCUUUCAUCUUUUCUUCAUUUUGCAGCAAUAUUUCACACAAGUUCAUCUUCAUCCAUGGCCACUCUCCAAUCCCACCUCCAUUUCUUGCCCUUGAACACCCCAAAACUCAUUCACUUUAAGAACCCUCAUUCUUGUUCAUUCUCCAAGAAACUUGUGCUCUCAAAGAAUCUGUUUUCCGGCCAAGAAAUUUCAUGGCGUUUUGCGUCCAAGGUUCACUAGUUAUUGGAAAGCAAGUGCGCAGCGCGAGAUUGAGAAGUCUGUUUCGACGGAGAGUGGAAAUGAGAGGCCUCCGUUUGAUAUUAACUUGGCUGUUAUUCUUGCUGGUUUACACCACUCCGCCUGUAAUUUUUCCUUGUUCUAAUUUCAUCAUUUCUUUUCUAUAUGUACAUAUUUUUUUCUUAUUUGGGUGGGGUUUCUUGUUUUGUGGAACGUGACGAGAAAUUGGGAAAUUCAUGUUUCUUGGUUAAUGGGUUGUUUUUUAUUUGGAGUAUGAUGGAAUUUCAGUAUUGUAGAACUGAAAGAAUUGUGCACCAGCCUCUCUUGAAAUGAUUUUUAGUUAACUGCUGAUGGGAAAAUAUUUGGUGAAAGAUUUCUACUAUUUUCGUCUUUCCUCUGGUUGUGAUAUGUUAAUAUUUCUUCCAUCUUACAAUUUUAUUUUUCUGUUCUUGGUAAUUCAUAGUUUUUUCUAAAUUUGCUCCUUAUCUUGUACAUUUUUCACCGAGAGAAAGUCGGCUGUUUAUGUGGGCUAUGUUUGGCCAUGGGAUCGGUAGUGAGGAAAACAGUUCACAUUUCAAGUGGUGGUCAUUUGUAUGAGAAAUUUAUGAUGGCCAAUUAUUUGUGAAGCUAAAGAAAGGUUUCAACUUUCCUGCAAUGGAUCCAUGGGUAGGGUAACUAGUGAUCCAUAUGUGAUCGUGCAAUUGGAUUGUCAAGUAGUCAAAAGCAAGGUCAAAUGGGGGUACUAAGGUGGAGGUGCGACCUGAUUUCUCUUAUAGUUGACAUUCAACCGGAGUAAGUUACCGGUAGUAAGAUGUUCAGGAAGUCCUCUCCUUACCUCUAAGCUCAAAGCGGUCGAGUGCAAGGCAUGGUGGAUAAGCUUACAUCCAGAGUAAACUCCUGAACGAGCAUUUGUUUAUCGUAUACAGGCAGAGCACAGUUAGUGAAAUUAUUCUCUUCUCCCUUCAAGUCUAUUGGUCAAGCAUAUUUUUCUUUCCUAAGAAAUCUUGUCAGGAGAUAGAUUAAAUCUAUAAUAUAUUAAACUGGAAUAAAAUUAUAUAUAUAUAUAAGAUAUACACGUAUUUCUCUUGAAGUUUUCAUUAAAAAUUUCCCCAAGUUACUCUUUCUCAAGUUUCACAUUUCAACUAAUCUUUUCCCAUUCCAAUCACUAGCUUGGCUUUGUAAUCUUCCGUUCUUCUCCCCCACCCAUUCUGGAAACUCCAGCACCUGGAUCACUCACCAUUCCCUACCAGCCUAGCAGUGCUGGGCUUUUUUAAAUUGCAACCACUUCACUUGGAAGGACAACCCAAGUCUGGGUAAAGAUCCCUGGAUUGGAAUGGUUGUGGAGGGUACUACUCAUAGCUAAGAUAUUUUCAUUAAUUAUCUUCACUAUUCUUUAUGUAGAGUUCAGGGCAACUAUAAACCAGUGCAAAAUUACCAAAAUAUUUUGUCACUGAAUUGAUGUGACCUAUCAAUUUAAGUUAAUUUGAAUCUUGGCCCAUUUCUGUAUGAUUCAAUUUUAUGCAGCAAUGCAAAACCCAAAGUCCCAAAUAAAAGUAAGCUUCCAUCCAAUUUACUAAGAAUGCACUCAAGAAUUCUUAGUCAGCCAUAUGUUUCAUGCGUCCAAAAAUAUGCCAAUAGUUUAUUGAUGUCCUUGUUCAAACCAUCACCCAUUACCUUAUAUGAUACUUGUUAGCUUUGUGCUUCCUUAUGCAUGUUCUAAAACCACAGAGCAGCAAAUUGUUGCCAUAUCAUUUGCUCUGCCAUUUUGGAAUCAGAUUUUACAUUCAACUUGUCCCUAGGGGCACAACCUAAUGGUUCAGGCACAAGACUUUCCUAGCACCACAGAGCAGCAAAUUGUAGCUAUUUCAUUUUCUCUGCCAUUUUGGAAAUCAAAAUGUACACUCAACUUGUCCCUAGGGGCGUCUGGUUUUCGAACUUUGAGUGUGGGCGUGUGUGUUGAAUGCGUGAGUGUAAAAAAAAUGUACAGUUGUACACUGAAGUUGUAAAUGCUUACGGAGAUCCAUGGAAACAAAUUUAAAGAUUUAGAAUGACAAAACUGCUUGAAUACAUUCAACGCACUCUUUAUCCAGAAAAAGAAAGAAAUAUUGCAACAAAUGCUUACUGAAACAGAUAAUCGUAAUUUCUUAUUAGAGAC